ACUUUUAGAAAUUACAAUUUUAUUUUGAAAAAAUAAAGUUUUAGUUAAACUAUAAAAGUA
rnacentral:tRNA from 1 species